rnacentral:rRNA from 1 species
UAGGGAAUCUUCCGCAAUGGACGAAAGUCUGACGGAGCAACGCCGCGUGAGUGAAGAAGGAUUUCGGUUCGUAAAACUCUGUUGUUAGGGAAGAAAAAAUGUAUAGUAACUAUAUACAAAAGAGACGGUACCUAACCAGAAAGCCACGGCUAACUACGUGCCAGCAGCCGCGGUAAUACGUAGGUGGCAAGCGUUGUCCGGAAUUAUUGGGCGUAAAGCGCGCGCAGGUGGUUUAGAAAGUCUGAUGUGAAAGCCCACGGCUCAACCGUGGAGGGUCAUUGGAAACUAAUAAACUUGAGUGCAGGAGAGAAAAGUGGAAUUCCUGGUGUAGCGGUGAAAUGCGUAGAGAUUAGGAGGAACACCGGUGGCGAAAGCGGCUUUUUGGCCUGCAACUGACACUGAGGCGCGAAAGAGUGGGGAGCAAACAGG